rnacentral:rRNA from 1 species
UACGAAGGGUGCAAACGUUGCUCGGAAUUAUUGGGCGUAAAGCGCACGUAGGCGGCUUGGCAAGUCGGAUGUGAAAUCCCUCGGCUCAACCAAGGAAGUGCAUCCGAAACUGCCGAGCUUGAGUACUUAAGAGGAUCGCGGAAUUCCCGGUGUAGAGGUGAAAUUCGUAGAUAUCGGGAGGAACACCAGUGGCGAAGGCGGGUCUCUGGGCAGAUACUGACGCUGAGGAGCGAAAGCGUGGGGAGCGAACAGG